rnacentral:rRNA from 1 species
GACGAACGCUGGCGGCGUGCUCAACACAUGCAAGUCGAACGGAAAGGCCCUGCUUUUGUGGGGUGCUCGAGUGGCGAACGGGUGAGUAACACGUGAGUAACCUGCCCUUGACUUUGGGAUAACUUCAGGAAACUGGGGCUAAUACCGGAUAGGAGCUCCUGCUGCAUGGUGGGGGUUGGAAAGUUUCGGCGGUUGGGGAUGGACUCGCGGCUUAGCAGCUUGUUGGUGGGGUAGUGGCUUACCAAGGCUUUGACGGGUAGCCGGCCUGAGAGGGUGACCGGCCACAUUGGGACUGAGAUACGGCCCAGACUCCUACGGGAGGCAGAAGUGGGGAAUAUUGCACAAUGGGCGGAAGCCUGAUGCAGCAACGCCGCGGGCGGGAUGACGGCCUUCGGGUUGUAAACCGCUUUCGCCUGUGACGAAGCGUGAGUGACGGUAAUGGGUAAAGAAGCACCGGCUAACUACGUG